GAGGCAGUCCAGCCGCAGGGGCCACCCGAACAGUCUCUCCUCCUCACAGAAGCCUGGAGCUGGGCAUCCAAGAAGAAGCAGCCUCAUUUGUUUUCUGGUGUCAUCGUAGGUGGCCACCUAUGGCUUUUGGGCUUCUCACCUGGGGCGGGUGGGUUCUGCACCACCCUCCCACCCUCCUUCCUCCGUGUGGACGAUAGAGCCACAUCCAGCACCACGGACAGCUCCCGGGCGAUCCCAUGGGAGUAGAAGAGGUGUGAGCAGGUUGCCCAGCUGGUUAGCGGAAAUGCCAAGAUCCAGGCUCCUGAAUUUCAGCCUGGCCCUUUCUAUCUGUCUGAUACCUCCUUUACGAGUCUCUCUGCCUGCGUUGUGUGGAGCGGGCCUGCUGCUGGUUGGGGGAGUUUGCAGGUUGCCCCUAUGCAAAAAAGGACAGGAUGCAUGACUGGCAUGUAAGGUGUUCAGGAAAACCAGGAAAAGGUGGAACAGACUGCUACCUCUGUCUGAAGUGGUUUGGAGGGAAGGCCUCAGGGACAGGGCAUACCUAGCAGUAGCUGGCAAGCCCAUGGGAGAAAAGGCAAGGGGGCAACCAUCUGCCAGGGCACAGAGGCCAGGGGAUGGCCACAAGGAGUCUCCAGAGGCCAGUGGGAGUCAUGCAAACUGGAACGGGGCCUGGGAAAGGCCCUUCUGUGUGCCCAGGCCUGCCUCCCCAACACCGUGAGCCUAGAAACAAAGGGGCCAUUCUCUCUAGGAUUUGAUGCUGCCAUCUCCGGCUGGCAGUGCCAGGUGGUGGGGGCAUCGGGGGUGUCAAUCCAUUAUCCCCCCCAACUCCUAGGUCCUCUGAGGCUGGAUGUUGGGGAGGUGGGUGUUCUAUGCUAUGUUGCUAUGGCAACCGCCCCCCCACCCCCAAAGUACAAAGAGAGGCAGCUUUCACCCCUACCCCCAGGAAGAACCUGGGUCUGGCUGGGAAUCUUCCCUUGAGAAUCCUCCUUUCUGAUGCACAAGCCAUGGCAUGCAUAAGCGUCACCCUCUUUUCAGCACUGGAAGCUGAGGGUUUUGACAGCGGCAGGCCACAUAGGCAAGGAAGCUGGUGCAUGCAGUGUCUCUGGGCAAGGUUAUGCAACCUUCAUCUCCUCGUCCUCCAGGCAGCACAAGCCAUUGUGGAAUCUCCACCAGGUGUACAGAACGGUGCCUCUGCGUCCUGCCACUCAGGACCUCUCAAGUCCCCGAUGUGAUGGCUCCUCAGCAUGAUCAGGAGUGAGCGUAAUUCAGACCUAUUUAGAUCCGUCAGCCCACGGACCAGGGGGACCUUGAGCAGGACAGUCUUUUGUCUCCAAGCAGUCAUUCCCUGUUAUACAAGCAAGAGUCAGGAGGAGGAAUGGUUUUGGCAUCAUCCCCCACAGACAGCAAUGGGGCCUUUAGGCCUGGAAGGAAGGACCAGGCUGCGGCUGGCAUAUGGAGGUUGAGCCCUGGGCACGGGGCAUCAGCUUCACCCGGCUGGGGAUGCCUUCUGCUGGGUUUGUCCAUCUGGCACCAGCUGGCUUCCCAGCACCGCCCCCACAACCAACCAGACUCCUCCUUCUGCUGUUGCCAUGGCAAUUGGCUGCCAUAUUGUACCUCAGAGCACUAGCUCCUAUCUGGAUUUUCCCGCGGGGUUCCUAGAGGGUGGGAGAUGGGUCUCCAGGGAUUUAUCCCUUUCCCCUGAUAUCUAUCCAAUAAAAAUUCAUAAUAACAUA
ensembl:lncRNA MIR9-1HG MIR9-1 host gene